AGCACAGUCAGCACAGCAGCCAAUGGUAGUUCUGGCCCAUCGGAAUCAGCGGAUGAUGACUUGCCCAGUGUCAUGACAUGUGCUAAUUACCUCAAGCUUCCUCCGUACUCUACCAAGGUAUGGUAUUUUUGUGAAUUGUGAAGAUGUCCAGGAACUCAUGGAUUUGUUGUCAUUAACCAUCGCCUUCCUUUAACCAGGAAAUCAUGUACAAGAAACUUCUGUAUGCGAUCAGCGAGGGACAGGGGUCUUUUGAUUUGUCAUGAGUCUCUCCAAAACUAACCAAUUGACCUGUGUAUAUCACAUCACAUCACCACAAUGUCAGGGUCAAUUCUCUUCAGGC
rnacentral:lncRNA from 1 species